AGUGAACGCUGGCGGUAGGCCUAACACAUGCAAGUCGAACGGCAGCACAGUAAGAGCUUGCUCUUACGGGUGGCGAGUGGCGGACGGGUGAGGAAUACAUCGGAAUCUACUUUUUCGUGGGGGAUAACGUAGGGAAACUUACGCUAAUACCGCAUACGACCUACGGGUGAAAGCAGGGGAUCUUCGGACCUUGCGCGAUUGAAUGGGCCGAUGUCGGAUUAGCUAGUUGGCGGGGUAAAGGCCCACCAAGGCGACGAUCCGUAGCUGGUCUGAGAGGAUGAUCAGCCACACUGGAACUGAGACACGGUCCAGACUCCUACGGGAGGCAGCAGUGGGGAAUAUUGGACAAUGGGCGCAAGCCUGAUCCAGCCAUACCGCGUGGGUGAAGAAGGCCUUCGGGUUGUAAAGCCCUUUUGUUGGGAAAGAAAAGCAGCAGGUUAAUACCCCGCUGUUCUGACGGUACCCAAAGAAUAAGCAGCGGCUAACUUCGUG
rnacentral:rRNA from 1 species